ACGCACGCUGGCGGCGUGCUUCACACAUGCCAGUCGAACGGAAAGGCCCUGCUUUUGUGGGGUGCUCGAGUGGCGAACGGGUGAGUAACACGUGAGUAACCUGCCCUUGACUUUGGGAUAACUUCAGGAAACUGGGGCUAAUACCGGAUAGGAGCUCCUGCUGCAUGGUGGGGGUUGGAAAGUUUCGGCGGUUGGGGAUGGACUCGCGGCUUAUCAGCUUGUUGGUGGGGUAGUGGCUUACCAAGGCUUUGACGGGUAGCCGGCCUGAGAGGGUGACCGGCCACAUUGGGACUGAGAUACGGCCCAGACUCCUACGGGAGGCAGCAGUGGGGAAUAUUGCACAAUGGGCGGAAGCCUGAUGCAGCAACGCCGCAUGCGGGAUGACGGCCUUCGGGUUGUAAACCGCUUUCGCCUGUGACGAAGCGUGAGUGACGGUAAUGGGUAAAGAAGCACCGGCUAACUACG
rnacentral:rRNA from 1 species